AAUUUAAAUGCACAUUAUUUAAGUUAAGGAAGACAAUCUGAAAAGGCUACACCCUGUAUGAGUCCAACUCUAUGACACCCUGGAAAAGGCAAAACUACGGAGACAAUAAAAAGAUCAGGGGUUGCCAAGGGUUGGAUGUUGGGGAGGGAUGAAUAGAUAGAACAUAGAGGAUUCUUCAGACAGUGAAACUACUCUGUCUGAUACUAUAAUGGUGGAUACACAGUAUUAUACAAUCAUCCAAACCCGUAGAAUGUACAACACCAAGACUGAACCUCCAACUCCUGGGCUCAAGUGAUCCUCUGCCUCAGCCUCCCGAGUAGCUGAAACUAUUGGUGCACACGACCACAUCUGGCCAAUUUUUAAAAAAUUACUAUAGAGGCAGGAUCUCACUAUGUUGCCCAGGAUAGUCUCAAACUCCUGGCCUCAAGCCAUCCUCCUGCCUCAACCUUCAAAAGUGCUGGGAUUGCCACCACCCAGGCUCGCCCCUGGUCCUUAGUUGGCAAUAAAGUAUCACUCUUGGCUCAUCAGUUGCAACAUCAGCAUAUCACAGUAAUGCAAGAGGUUUACAGUGCAGGACAUAGGGACUUGGUGAGGGGACAUGAGAAUCCUCUGCACAUUCUGUUCAAUUUGUCUCAAAAUAAAAUAUAUUCAUUAAAAUAAAACUACUAAUUUCUUAUCAACUCAUCUCAUAAAAUGGACUGAUGGGAGACUAAGUCAGUAUCCUAUUAGCAGACACAACCAGAAAUUAAGAGUGGUCCCAUGUCAAAGAGGUUUGCCCAAGCAUUGCAGAUACAGGACUGAACAGACUGCCAUCCUGGCCGUCUCGAAUGUCAAUGUUAGUAAUAGUUAUUUUAUUAUGAUGUUGAACUCAUCAUUUAUAAUGCCAUAUUUGUUGCUUCAGUUAUCACAUUUAACCUGUCACAAGCUUAAAAAUACAUAUUCUUUAAAAAGAUAGUUUGUGGAUCAAGAACUCCCAGUUAAGCCUACUAGAUGAGCUGUGUGUGUUUGUUGCUCUCCCUUCAAAAAAACUGCUAAAAUAAUAAUUGAAAAGAUACAAACCCACUUGUCGAAGGGAGAAGAGACCAACGGCAGACAUAAGAUUCCAGACGAUUUUUGGAGAGUGGAAAGAGCACGCAGUUGACUUAGAAAAGCAUCCCGGGCCGGGCAUGGUGGCUCACGCCAGUAAUCCCAGCACUUUGGGAGGCCAAGGCAGGAGGACUGCUUGAGGUCAGGAGUUCGAAACCAGCCUGGCCAACAUGGCAAAACCCCAUCUCUACUAAAAAUACAAAAAAAAAAAAAAAAUUAGCUGGGCAUGGUGGCAGGUGGCAGGUGCCUAUAAUCCCAGCUACUCGGGAGGCUGAGGCAGGAGAAUUGCUUGAGCCUGGGAGGUGGACGUUGCAGUGAGCCGAGGUCGUGCCACUGCACUCCAGCCUGGGUGACAGAGUGCGACUCCAUCUCUAAAAAAGAAAAAGAAAAGAAAAGCACCAUGGAGGUGGAUAAUAUUUAGAUCAUGGUGUGAGUUGACCCUCCCUGCAAACCCCUGAGAGGCAGCUGGAAUGAGGAGAUGUGAGAUGGGGCAGGAGCUACUCAGAGAGUGAUGUGGCCACUGGGCCCCUUCCCCGUGAGCAGCCAAGAGACCUCCCCCCCACCACGUUCUCUCUCUCUCUCUGGAGACCAAGGGUCAUCUUCCAGAGAUGCAGCUUCCCAGAGGCUCUAGAUCAGGGCACCAAAUGAAGCAGUACUAAGGUGGGAAGACAAAGCACCUGACCGUGGGGCCUUCUGCCCUGCUCUCAAUCAGCUCUUCAGCAAAUAUGUAUCGAGUGCAACUUUGUACCAGGUACUCUUUCAGGGGAUUUGAUGGUGAACCAAACAGGCAGAGUCUCUGAUCUCAUGGAGCCUGCAUCCCAGUAAGGCAGACAGGUAAUAUUAAAAGUGCUGGUAUCCCUGGAAGAAAUGAAAGUAGACGCUGGGACAGAGAGUGCAGGGCCAUCUACUGUAGGUAGGAAGUCAGGGAGGCAUCUUGGAGGAGGUGAAUUGGAAGCAGAGACUUGCAUGGGGAGGAGGAGAACUUCCAAGAUAUGGGGACAAGAAUUCUGGCCAUCAAAGGCCACGAGACAGGUGCACGCUGGGCUUGCUCAAGUAGCAGGGAGGAGGCUCGCUGGUGCCAGGCACGCAGUGAUCCAGAGGAAAGUAGGAAAUGAGCAAGGAGAGGCUGAUGGGCCCCGGGUCCUGCAGGGUUUGAAGAUGAUGAUGAGAACUUGAGACUGGAUUCCAAAGGAGAUGGGAAGUCACUGGGCGUGUGAACACUCAACGUCCUUUCUAAAAGCAUCAUUUUGGGAGGAGGGGGAUGGUGUGGAAGCAGCCAGACUGGUCAGGAGGCUGCCGCAGAGCACCAGCCUCACCACUGGCAGAGCAUUGCGCGUCACCACCCAUGCCCGGCAGGAGGGAGGCGCAGUCUCCUUGGGCACUGAUGAGUGGCCUUGGGGAAAGGAGCUCCACCCACCUGGCAUCAGUUGAAAGGUGACAGAGCCCUGAUCACUGCACAGUGCAGCCACCAGUAUGCUGGACAGCAAAGACCAACACAAAAAACUUCCAAGUUUAAGCUUCUUCUUGAAUUUUUAAUGUUCAAUUAUGAAGCAGUUCAAACGUGCAAGUAAAAGAAUACUAUGACAUCUAUAUCCUCAGCAAGAUAAAUCAGAAACUGAUAUUUCACU
rnacentral:lncRNA from 10 species